rnacentral:rRNA from 1 species
AUUAACGCUGGCGGCGUGCAUCACACAUGCAAGUCGAACGAUGAAACUUUACUGACUUCUUCGGAAUGAUUUAAAGCGGAUUAGUGGCGAACGGGUGAGUAACGCGUGAGUAACCUGCCUUACACAAGGGGAUAGCCUCUGGAAACGGAGAAUAAUACCCUAUGAAACCAGACAAUCGCAUGAUAAUCUGGUCAAAAUGUUUAGUGGUGUAAGAUGGACUUGCGUCUGAUUAGCUAGUUGGUGAGAUAAAAGCUCACCAAGGCAACGAUCAGUAGCCGGCUUGAGAGAGUGUACGGCCACAUUGGGACUGAGACACGGCCCAGACUCCUACGGGAGGCAGCAGUGGGGAAUUUUGCACAAUGGGGGAAACCCUGAUGCAGCGACGCCGCGUGAUUUAGAAGGCCUUCGGGUUGUAAAAAUCUUUUGUAUAGGAAGAAAAUGACAGUACUAUACGAAUAAGGUCCGGCUAAUUACGUG